rnacentral:rRNA from 1 species
AGAGUUUGAUCCUGGCUCAGGAUGAACGCUGGCGGCGUGCUUAACACAUGCAAGUCGAACGAACCUUCGGGUUAGUGGCGGACGGGUGAGUAACGCGUGGGAAUCUACCCUCAGGAGGGGGAUAACGGUUGGAAACGACCGCUAAUACCCCAUAUGCCGCAAGGUGAAAUGAAUUUCGCCUGAGGAUGAGCCCGCGUCUGAUUAGCUUGUUGGUGAGGUAAUGGCUCACCAAGGCUUCGAUCAGUAGCUGGUCUGAGAGGAUGAUCAGCCACACUGGGACUGAGACACGGCCCAGACUCCUACGGGAGGCAGCAGUGGGGAAUUUUCCGCAAUGGGCGAAAGCCUGACGGAGCAACGCCGCGUGAGGGACGAAGGCCUCUGGGCUGUAAACCUCUUUUCUCAAGGAAGAAGAUAUGACGGUACUUGAGGAAUAAGCCACGGCUAAUUCCGUGCCAGCAGCCGCGGUAAUACGGGAGUGGCAAGCGUUAUCCGGAAUUAUUGGGCGUAAAGCGUCCGCAGGCGGCCCUUCAAGUCUGCUGUUAAAAAGUGGAGCUUAACUCCAUCAAGGCAGUGGAAACUGUUGGGCUUGAGUGUGGUAGGGGCAGAGGGAAUUCCCGGUGUAGCGGUGAAAUGCGUAGAUAUCGGGAAGAACACCAGUGGCGAAGGCGCUCUGCUGGGCCAUAACUGACGCUCAUGGACGAAAGCCAGGGGAGCGAAAGGGAUUAGAUACCCCUGUAGUCCUGGCCGUAAACGAUGAACACUAGGUGUCGGGGGAAUCGACCCCUUCGGUGUCGUAGCCAACGCGUUAAGUGUUCCGCCUGGGGAGUACGCACGCAAGUGUGAAACUCAAAGGAAUUGACGGGGGCCCGCACAAGCGGUGGAGUAUGUGGUUUAAUUCGAUGCAACGCGAAGAACCUUACCAGGGUUUGACAUCCUGCGAACCUCUAAGAAAUUAGAGGGUGCCUUCGGGAAUGCAGUGACAGGUGGUGCAUGGCUGUCGUCAGCUCGUGUCGUGAGAUGUUGGGUUAAGUCCCGCAACGAGCGCAACCCACGUUUUUAGUUGCCAGCAUUUAGUUGGGCACUCUAGAAAGACCGCCGGUGAUAAACCGGAGGAAGGUGUGGAUGACGUCAAGUCAUCAUGCCCCUUACAUCCUGGGCUACACACGUACUACAAUGCUACGGACAAAGGGCAGCUAACUCGCGAGAGCAAGCAAAUCCCAUAAACCGUGGCUCAGUUCAGAUCGUAGGCUGCAACUCGCCUACGUGAAGCAGGAAUCGCUAGUAAUCGCAGGUCAGCAUACUGCGGUGAAUACGUUCCCGGGCCUUGUACACACCGCCCGUCACACCAUGGAAGUUGGCCACGCCCGAAGUCGUUACUCUAACCCUUGUGGAGGAGGACGCCGAAGGUGGGGCUAAUGACUGGGGUGAAGUCGUAACAAGGUAGCCGUACCGGAAGGUGCGGCUG